UGGGGAAUUUUGGACGAAUUGGGCGAAAGCCUGAUCCAGCAAUGCCGCGUGUGUGAAGAAGGCCUUCGGGUUGUAAAGCACUUUUGUCCGGAAAGAAAUCCUUGGCUCUAAUACAGUCGGGGGAUGACGGUACCGGAAGAAUAAGCACCGGCUAACUACGUGCCAGCAGCCGCGGUAAUACGUAGGGUGCAAGCGUUAAUCGGAAUUACUGGGCGUAAAGCUGCGCGGGCGGUUUGCUAAGACCGAUGUGAAAUCCCCGGGCUCAACCUGGGAACUGCAUUGGUGACUGGCAGGCUAGAGUAUGGCAGAGGGGGGUAGAAUUCCACGUGUAGCAGUGAAAUGCGUAGAGAUGUGGAGGAAUACCGAUGGCGAAGGCAGCCCCCUGGGCCAAGUACUGACGCUCAUGCACGAAAAGCGUGGGGAGCAAAACAGGAUUUAGAUACCCUGGUAGUCCACGCCCCUAAAACGAUGUCAACUAGUUGUUGGGGGAUUCAUUUUCCUUAGUAACGUAGCUAACGCGUGAAGUUGACCGCCUGGGGGAGUACGGUCGCAAGAUUAAAACUCAAAUGAAUUGACGGGGGUCAUAGCUGUUU
rnacentral:rRNA from 1 species